UACGAAGGGUGCAAGCGUUAUUCGGAAUCACUGGGUGUAAAGAGCGUGUAGGUGGACUGUUAAGUCAGUUGUUAAAUUGCUCAGCUUAACUGGGCGCAGGCAAUUGAAACUGGCGGUCUAGAGUACAAAAGAGAAAAGUGGAAUUGUCGGAGUAGCGGUAAAAUGCGUAGAUCUCGACAGGAACACCGGUUGCGAAGGCGGCUUUUUGGUUUGUAACUGACACUGAAGCGCGAAAGCGUGGGGAGCAAACAGG
rnacentral:rRNA from 1 species